rnacentral:rRNA from 1 species
CUGAUGAGAGUGGCGCACGGGUGCGUAACGCGUGAGCAACCUACCCAUAUCAGGGGGAUAGCCUCUCGAAAGAGAGAUUAACACCGCAUAACAUCAUUUACCGGCAUCGGUUAAUGAUCAAAUAUUUAUAGGAUAUGGAUGGGCUCGCGUGACAUUAGCUAGUUGGAGGGGUAACGGCCCACCAAGGCUACGAUGUCUAGGGGCUCUGAGAGGAGAAUCCCCCACACUGGUACUGAGACA